GUCUUAAAGAAUUUAAUUUUAAGUCUAAUCUGCCCACUGAAUUUUUAAAUGGCUGCAGAAUUUUUUACUGUACAAAGGUAGCAUAAUAAUUUGUUUUUUAAUUAAAAAAUUGAAUGAAAGAUUUAAUGAAAUAUAAACUGUUUCAAUUAAAUUUAAUUAUGAAUUUUUUAUUUAAGUAAAAAAACUUAAAUAAUUUUUAAAGACGAUAAGACCCUAUAGAAUUUUAUUUAUUUAUAUACCUUUAAUUUAAAUAAAUUUUAUUGGGGUAAUAAAAAAAUUAAAUAAAUUUUUUUUAAAAAAAACAUUUUAAUUGAAAAAUAUAUCUUAAUUUUUAAAUUAAAAAAAUUAAUUACCUUAGGGAUAACAGCAUAAUUUUUUUUAAAAGAUCUUAUUAAUAAAAAAGAUUAU
rnacentral:rRNA from 1 species